rnacentral:rRNA from 1 species
ACUCAAAGGAAUUGACGGGGGCUCACACAAGCGGUGGAGCAUGUGGCUUAAUUCGAAGCAACGCGAAGAACCUUAUCCUAGGCUUGACAUGCAUGGAUUAGUUUGGUGAAAGUCAAAUGAGGCCCGCAAGGGUACAACAUGCACAGGUGCUGCAUGGCUGUCGUCAGCUCGUGCUGUGAAGUGUCGGGUUAAGUCCCUUAACGAGCGCAACCCCUGUCGCUAGUUGCUAACGGGUAAUGCCGAGGACUCUAGUGAGACUGCCGGUGUCAAACCGGAGGAAGGUGGGGAUGACGUCAAGUCCUCAUGGCCUUUAUGCCUAGGGCUGCACACGUGCUACAAUGGUGCACACAGAACGAUGCAAGACCGCAAGGUGGAGCAAAUCGCUCAAAUUGCACCUCAGUUCAGAUUGUGGGCUGCAACCCGCCCACAUGAAGUCGGAAUCGCUAGUAAUCGCGGAUCAGCUACGCCGCGGUGAAUAUGUUCCUGAGCCUUGUACACACCGCCCGU